rnacentral:rRNA from 1 species
ACGUAGGGUGCGAGCGUUAAUCGGAAUUACUGGGCGUAAAGCGUGCGCAGGCGGUUCGCUGUGUCCGAUGUGAAAGCCCCGGGCUUAACCUGGGAAUGGCAUUGGAAACUGGCGGGCUUGAGUGUGGCAGAGGGGGGUGGAAUUCCGCGUGUAGCAGUGAAAUGCGUAGAGAUGCGGAGGAACACCGAUGGCGAAGGCAAUCCCCUGGGCCUGCACUGACGCUCAUGCACGAAAGCGUGGGGAGCAAACAGGA